rnacentral:lncRNA from 1 species
UAUAUAUGUGUGUGCGUGCGUGCGUGUGUGUGCUCAGAAACUUUGAUGAAAGAACACUGAGAGGGAGUGGCUGGAUGUUCAUAAGCUCGUUUUCUUUGGAUAAGAAAGUAGAAGAAUGAUUGUUUAAUUGAAAUGUGCCUGGAUGCUUGAGGAGGCUUUAAAUCCCUGGCUUUAGUAGGAAUUUGAAGAGAGCAUGUUCAAGAGUUCUUCAGUUCAGACUGAGGAGAUGGACUUGGCUUUUCAUGUUACUGGGUUUAAGAAGCCUUGAUGACUAUUUUAGGGUGCUGGAAAACAAACCCUACUGCUGCUUUCCCAACCCUCAGGGAGCAGAACCUGUUGUCUGGAAAGCUGGAGUUACAAAAGACUGGAUGGUGAAGCCACAGGGUCUCGCUAGUACAAAAGGCUGGUUAAACCAUAACAAGAACAAGACUUUUUUGCUCAGGAACCAUAACAAGAGCAGGACUGCUCAGGAACAAACUACCACCUCCCUGUGAUGAGUGGUUGAAACUGCUUUGAAUUAAAUGUGUGUUGCUGGUGUUCUGCUGCAAGACUAUGUACAUGCUAUUGGAAAAUCAGAAUUUCAUAUAGAAAUCUAUAAGAAGAAGUUAAUUAUAGCAUCUGUUAAGCACUGGAGAUUAAGCCCACUAGUCCUUUCUUGUAAAUCAAGACUUGCAGCAAUAAGUCAUCAACUUUUUGUCAAGCUAUACUGAUAAAAUGGUUUUAUCAAACCUUUUAAUACUUGUGGUUGAACCCAUCAAUAAAAGCUCCAG